rnacentral:tRNA from 1 species
GCAGUAGUGGUUUAGUAGUUGAACUCUCGCCUUCUACGCUAGAGGUCUGGGUUCGGUUCCCAGCCAAAGCA